AGGCUGGAUAAAAUAAUUCUAUUGAAAUAUUGUUUAUCUAAAAAGUAAUGCCUAAGGAUAAGUUGGCGGUGAAUUAGGUUGUUGGGGAGGAAAAGCCCCACCAAGCCAAAAAUCCAUGGGGGCCUUGAAAGAGGUCCCCCCAAGAAGGACACUGAAAUACUGGUCCUACCCCUACGGGGGGCAGCAGGCGCAAAACCUUUACAAUGCACGCAGGUGUGAUAAGGGACCCCCAGGUGUUUAUGUUUUGAAUAAUUUUUUGCCAAAAGAAAAAUUCUUGGCAAAUAAAUGGGGGGAAAAAUUGGUGCCAGCACCCGCGGUACCACCACCGCCACGGGGGGCAACCUUAUUUAUUGGGCCUAAACCGCCCGUAGCCGGUUUGAUAAUUUUUUGGUGAAAUCGUUGUGCUUAACAUAACGGUAUGCAAAAAAUACUGUCGAACUUGAAACUGGAAUGAGUCAAAGUUUUUCGGGGGGGAGCGGAAAAAUGUUUUAAUCCUCAAAAAACCACCGGGGGCAAAAGCGUCUGACUAAAACAAAUUCGACGGGGAGGGACAAAAGCCGGGGAAGCAAAACGGAUUAAAUAC
rnacentral:rRNA from 1 species